UCAUGCAUGCCUGCAUAGCAAGAUCUUCUGUCUCUUCCUCUUUUUAGAAGAGUAUUAAUUUCAUCACAAGGGCCCCACCCUUGUGACCUAGUCCAAUCCUGAUUACCUCCCAAGGUCAUACCUCCAAAUACAAUCACACUGGAGAUUAGAGUUUCAACAUGUGGACUUUGUGGGUCACAAACAUGUAAUUCAUAACACAGAGCCAUAACGGAACCCAGCAAAUGUAGCACAGACCUGCAUAGCUCAAAGAGCAAGCUGGUAGGCAGACAGUAGAUCAAAUAUGUAUGCAUACCACCAGGCAGCAAAGCCAGUAAGCAAACCAAAGCAAAAGAACAAAGACCCCUGGUGGUGAUAGACAUCUUACUCAUGGUGCCAAUGCUUGUGUCUACCCAUAAGGAGCCAUACAGACCCCAACCCAAAAAUAGGGUUCCAAUGUCAAGACUGAUGAUGUCAUAUCCACAUGAAGAGUAGGUGAAAAUGUUUAUUACUUACCAAAUGAAGCUUUCUGGGGACAGCAAGUCAGAGUUCUCAAGGAGAUCCAAAAAUGGCUUCAGAAGGCCUUCAGACUCAAACUAGGAUUUAUUUAUACCAUUGACUGCCCUGAUUUUCAGACCUUAGAGUGUGGGCUAAAACUACACCACCAGUUUCCUGGGUCUCUGGAUUAAGGAUGGCAGAUUGUGAAACCUCCAUAAUCAUACUGAAAUACUCUUCUUUUCUGACAUGUCAUUUUUUUUGCCCUGAUUCAGGAAGCCAACUUUUUCCCUCUUCACAAAUACACAUACUCUGUUAUCUCAGCUUUUGAAAUCCAGCUUAUGCAUC